GCGGAAAUAGCUCAGUGGUAGAGCAUCUCGUUGCCAACGAGAAGGUCGCGGGUUCGAGCCCCGUUUUCCGCUCCA
rnacentral:tRNA from 8 species